rnacentral:rRNA from 1 species
GACGAACGCUGGCGGCGUGCUUAACACAUGCAAGUCGAACGGAGACGGCAGAGCUUUCUCUGCCUGAUCAGUGGCGAACGGGUGAGUAACACGUGAGUAACCUGCCCCUCACUUCGGGAUAACCUCUGGAAAUCGUGGCUAAUACCGGAUAUGAGAUCUUACUGCAUGGUGGGGGCUGGAAAGAUUCCUCGGUGGGGGAUGGACUCGCGGCCUAUCAGCUUGUUGGUGAGGUAACGGCUCACCAAGGCGACGACGGGUAGCCGGCCUGAGAGGGGGACCGGCCACACUGGGACUGAGAUACGGCCCAGACUCCUACGGGAGGCAGCAGUGGGGAAUAUUGCACAAUGGGCGAAAGCCUGAUGCAGCGACGCCGCGUGAGGGAUGAAGGCCUUCGGGUUGUAAACCUCUUUCAGCAGGGAAGAAGCGAAAGUGACGGUACCUGCAGAAGAAGCGCCGGCUAACUACGUG